CCCCAGGGCAGCAGCCAGGACACUUCAUUCAUACUUUUGUCCUUCAGAACCUUCACUGAGGGCCUACUGUGUGCCAGGCCCUGGGCCAGCUGC
rnacentral:pre_miRNA from 1 species